CAAAAAGAUACAGUAGAUUUGUUGGAUUCGUUGGAUCACAGUUAAUAGAGAUCCAGGAUCAAACUUUGUUGUAAGCUCUUUCAUGUAGUAAUCCUAAAUCUACAAUUGAGGAAGUUAUAAAGAUCGAAGAUUCAAUAUGUCAAAAACCAACAAAGGAAUUUUUGUAGUUGGAGGUUUGGUGACAGCCAUUGGUUUAGCUCUUUAUCCUGUGGCUGUUCAUCCCAAGUUGUUCCCACAAAAAUAUCGUGAGUAUAUUUUAAUACUGAGCAGAGCAACUCCAAAACUAAUCCCGGCUAGUGAUAUGUACAGUAGCCUGAGAAUACAGUCAUAGAUUAAGUAAGGACAGAUGUGUAACUUCAGUAAAAAAGUUGUCCCAUGGUCGCCAUCUUCCUAGCACAGAAUAGAUACUGGACCAGAAGUGUCACUCCUAUGUGUUUUGGCUGAAGGAAGACGUCCAAAAUUUUUU